rnacentral:misc_RNA from 1 species
GACACGAGGAGGCGCACCGUCAGCUGAGGUCUCUGUGUGUGUGUAAGUGCUUUUAUUCUGCAUGAGCACAUACGCAGGCACUUGUGUGGGUGUGCACCGACGUCGAGAAGUGCGCCCCGCUCCCUCCUCAGCAACAACAAGAUCGCAUUGUCGUUCCGUCUGGUCGCUUCGCCGCUACAGCCGUGCCCGAUGGCUGUCUUGAGUGCACGCCCGUCGCCGAGCGCUGCGUUCCUUCCUCCCUCCUCCAUCCCAUACACGGGCAACCACUAGAGACCCCCGCGCACCGCUAUACAGGCGCGCACGUCCGUUGAAAGAAAAGGGAGCACGCACAUAUACGCAUAGAGAAUUUUGAAAAGACGUUGGUUAGACAAGGCAGGAGGUGAGGGGGGAAGGGGAAAAGGGGCUGGUUCAUGUCGGUCCUUCCUGCCGGGGCAGACCGUGCUGCGGUACAGGAACUGGAGGCGCUUUUCCGCACCGCGGACCCGACAAACACGGGACUGCUGUCGUACAGCGAGUUCGCCUACCUUAUCCUACGCAGUGGGGGGACGCAGAAACAGGCAGAUGCGCUGAUUGAGAAGUUCGCCGGGCCGUCACGUGCUCAGCGGGUGGUGUACUACGGGGCACUGCUGGAGCAGCUGUACGACUAUGCGGAAGCGACUGCAGAUGCGCAUGGCGAUGUCGAGAACGGCAGUGCAAGACACACUUCAGACCCGCUACUCAGGAUAUCCUCUCUCGACUGCACCUCCUCCAUGCCGGCCCUUGAUACGUCCAACAGCUCCCCAUUGCCGACUCCCCCGGCGCCGACCGGCGUUGGGCCGUCGUCGUGGCAUGCUUCCCACUCGCCAAUCGCUGGCGGUGGUGGCGCCGCUGCUGCUGCUGCUCCAGCUCCUCGUGACGUCAUGGGCGCGGGUCAGUAUGUCGUCCCUUCCGCUGCAUUAUCAUCCUCGCCCCUCUACAGAUCGGUCAGCCAUGCCGGCGCCGGCGGCCGCAGCGCCUCCACGCUCGCCUCGCGCGAGUCGUCCACGGCAACCUACGCAACGUACACCACAUGCAACGACCGCUCGCUGCCUCACCUCCGCAGCGACAGCAGUGCCACCCCCCCGCGCAGGCCGCUUCGCAGUCCGUCCUCUCCCCACUCCUCACGGUUUGUCGAGUCUGCUCUUCGAACCGCUACAGCAGCGGCGGCGGGGCCGCAUCAGCAGCAGCGGCUCGAUCGCGCGCCGUCGCAGGGCGGCACACAUGUCAGUUGGCCAGCGUCCCGAUCGCGAAGCCGCGAUGAUGUGCGCGCCACUCCUCUUACAGGCUCGUCGGUGGUGGGCACGCAAGGUGGUGAGCGUGCGCGCGUGUACGGUGCCACGUCGGCGCCACAGUACGCCGCAGGUGACGGUCGCUACUCCUAUGCCCCGCGCGCAUGCGACCCGACACCGGUGAGUAUCGGGCACCGUCGGCGCGAGAGCUCCACAGAGCGCAUGGUGCGCGCGGCAGCCGAGGUGAGUAUCCACGGCAGACCUCAGUCGCGUUUCGAUGCAGAAGGCAGUGUCGGUGCUGGAGAGACCCGUGAAGGUGAAGGGAAGCGCCGUUCAAGUGUGGCUCGUGUGCUGCCUGACGCACUGCGCUCCGCGUCGUCGUCUUCCUACGCAGCGGCGCCCCAUCUUGUUGCCGCCAAUCGUGCCAGUCGCACCGCUGCGCCGCAGGCGGAAAACACGAGCACGUUAUUCACCGCAAGCCGCGCAAGUGACUCGUACGUGAGUCACGUAAACCAUAGUGGUCACAGCAGUUACCAUAGCGACGCCGCCGCGACGUCCCUUCUAUCGCUACGGGACAUCUUUCAGCGUCAUCUGGCGCCGCGGUCAUCGCGUGAUGGCACCGUGCUGCUGAGCGAGCUGGAAGAGGCCUUGGCGACGCGCGGGGUGGGUGUGCAUCCGCUAGAGCUGGAGGCCGUGGCCGACUCGCUGGAGCUGGCCGCGGUGCCGGCGGCCAUCGAGCAUCAUGGCAGUGCCCUACAGCACCACAGCUUCAACGCGAGCCUGAAGAACGGCUUCGGGGCCUCGGUCGCUACAGCUGGGCGCAUGCUUCGUGACUCACCGCAUCCCUGGCGCUCGGUCAGCGCCUCUGGCAUGGAUAGCACGGACGCCUCGGCAACGACAGCGAGUCGGGCCACCCUCACCGGUGGUACGGAUCGGGCGCUGAGUCUCGUCGACUUCUGUGUGCUGGUCUCUCGUCUGCGUCCGGCGCUCAUUCAACGCAUUCGCAGCCCCGGUGUGUGGGAGGGCGCGGCAUCCAUCGAUGGAGUCGAGGUGCUGCAGAGCCGUCAGCCUCCGCCGGUCAACAGCCGCCUUGAAUCUCGCGGAGCUGUGGAAAGUGAUGACGGGGACAGCAUUGCAGACGUGACCGUGUCACCGAUGACCCCAGAAGCGGCCGCCCCUGCGACGCCGCGGUCCACCGUGUCCUCGUCGAGCACGCGACCACACUCCUCCGCGCAACGUCAUCUUCGGCGGCGGCGCUCUCUCGUGCCACACCGCUUUGCCGACCUGCACCGCCCACUAAGUGCGGCGAAGGUGUACGGCGCUGCGGCAUCGGCAUCGACGUCCACGGCGCCGCCGACUGCCCGGCAACUCUCGGCCGAUCAGCAGUUUGCCGUUGAGCACGCGCAGCGGGAGCCACGACGCAGUAAGCGGGAGGAAGAUAGCGAUGACGGCUGCCAUGCCUCUGUCAGAUAUGCACAGCCAACUGCCGCUUCCGAGCAACGGCGCAAUGGACUGGACGUGCCGUCAGCCACGACAGCGCGGCUAAACCGCACAAAGGUGCCUCUCUGGCACGAUGGACGGCGCCUCGGUGCGCGCCGCAGCCACACCGACGCCACUCGCUCGCCGUCGUCCACGUCACCGGGUAGCUCGCGUGGUUUGAUCUCACCCGACGAGCGCCAUCAUCCGCAGCAGCCGCGACCGCACCGCGCCCACAUCGCUCUCCGCAGUCCCACCAGCGACUUUUCGGCUCGCGUCGUGCACAAAGAGUUGGGUGAUGGUCUCGCACGUCGUGGUUGUGGGAGGAUGUCCGAGCCUUGGCCAACGACGACAUCGGCAGAGCUCUCGCCGACUUCCAGGGCACUGUCGUCGCCGCAGUCGAUCAACAAAAGAGGGCCGACAUCCUCGAUGCUGGCGCCGCGUGUCCUGGAAACGCUUCAAAGUGCCGCGUUGCCGCUGUUGCGCCGCUGUGCACAGCUGGACAGUCGGCACACGGGGCGCAUGGCACCGAGCGCGUGGCUGCGCGUACUGCGAGACGCUUGUCCAGCCUUGACGGAUGCAGAGCGACUCCGUGUGCAAGAAUGGAUUCGAUCAAGAGGGCAGCGGUCGGCCUGUGGCGCCGACUACGCGGCGGUCGUGGAGGAUAUUUUGACAGAGGCGAGCAUCGUCCCUCUCACCCCCGCGUCUGGCGCGAAGAGCAGCGCAUGCCGGCGUGGUGACAGUACCGCGGCAGCCUCGCCGCUUCGCGCCUCCGCCACUCGGAUGCGCAGCUAUCCUCAACGGCAAGAUGCGGCUGCGACAAGGUCUUCGGUGCCAUACACGUCGACCACGAAGGACGCCUCACCGGCCUCAAGCCGCUCGGCAGCGAAGCCGCGUGCGGCCGUGCGCAGCGGGCCGAGUGGACGCGUUCCUGUCUCAUCAUCCCAUACCACAGCGAAUGGUCAGAUGACUGACGAGGACGCGAAGCGGCUGCUUGCGCACGAGCUGAUGACGGCCUGUGGUGGCGACACGGAGGCGCUUCUGGGGUAUUUCCGCGCCUUCGACGAGGCUGGCACUGGACUCCUCGUCGAGCAUGUCUGGCGAGCCAGCUUGGAGGAGCUUUUUCGGCGGACAGAGGGUCGAGAGGCGCCAGCGUGGGUCGUGGGCGGGUGUGUGCGCCUCUCGCGUGUGCCACUGGAGAGACCGGCUGCCACACCGUCGCCGCAGCGCGGCACACCACCGCUCGUUUCUCCUGCGCUCUCCGCGGCGCGCGCACGCGUCUCGCGGGUACCGCCAGCGAUGCGCGGGACACUGUGCGAUUACCGCUACGUCUUGGAGGAGCUUGGCGUUCAUGCAGACGGGUGAGGCUCGCGCGCAGCGUCUACGUUGCAGCGCUGAGCAGAUUCGGCAGUAUUGCUCACCAAGCGAAGCAAAAC